rnacentral:rRNA from 1 species
UACGUAGGGGUCGAGCGUUGUCCGGACUUACUGGGCGUAAAGCGUGGGUAGGUGGGUGCUGAUGUGCCGUGUGAAAGCGCCGCGCUUCUCGCGGCGAGGUCGCGGUAGACACAGCACCUAGAGGCACGGAGAGGGGCGUAGAAUUCCCGGUGUAGUGGUGAAAUGCGUAGAUAUCGGGAGGAAUACCGAUGGCGAAGGCAGGUCUCUGGGCUAUAACUGACGCUCAUGCACGAAAGCGUGGGGAGCAAACAGG